ACUCGACUGCAUGAAGCUGAAAUCGCUAGUAAUCGCGAAUCAGCAUGUCGCGGUGAAUACGUUCCGGGUCUUGUACACACCGCCCGUCACACCAUGGGAGUCGGAAAUGCCCGAAGCCAGUGACCCAACCUUUAAGGAGGGAGCUGUCGAAGGCAGGUCUGGUAACUGGGGUGAAGUCGUAACAAGGUAGC
rnacentral:rRNA from 1 species